UUAAAACAGGCAAAAAGUUACGUCAGAAGAUUGAAGAGGAUGAAAUCUAUAACUAUUCCCUCAGGUUUUGCACACUAGGGAAUAAGGAACGAUAAGGGACCCCAUGGAAAAAGGAGGACUUCAGAGUUAUGCGGGGAAGACCUUCGGGUAAGGCCUACUUUGGAAGCACACCUGGCCUCUGACCUGGCGGACUUAGGUGACCUCUACCUUCUUCCAGUCAUCUCGGCGAGAAAGAUGGAGCUUUGAUGAUUUACUUAUAGCCUAUGCAAGAAAGAGAGGUAGAUAUGAUGAUCUGGAAAGGUGUCUGUUGGAUACUUAGAAAGGUAUAUGUGUAUUUCACGAAACUUUGUAAAUAUUAUAUACCUUCUAAACAAAUUGAAGUUAGUCACUUAGGAAACACGUUUUGAAAGUAAUUUUUUUUUUUCCAGGCCAAAAUUUAAGAUGGAAACUGAAAUUGUUGUAGAGUCUUAGAAAUAAUGUAAAUGGGCUAAUUGACUUAUAAAAGUUCAUCCAAAGGAUUUUUGACUUAAAUUCUUCAAUAAGGAUUUGUGUGUAUAUUUUAAUAGCUAGAGUUGGUUGGAUCAACUUUGGAUAAAAUGAAACAAUAAUACUGUUUCUAAUUCUACUAUGUGAGUGGAGGUACUCUUCUAAAAAAUUAAAAUACAGUAUUUUUUAAAGUAACUUUUAAAGAAAAUAGAGGCCAGAGAUAAAGUUCCUCAGAACUGAUAUGUGUGAUAGAACAUAAAAUAUACCAAUAUUUUUUAAGUAUUUAAUAAUAAAAAAAGAGCUUGCCAAGCUUUGGUCAACAGACAAUGAAGAUGAGACUAGCCCAGAAAAUAUAGACAAAAAGAGAACAGAUGAUUGAGUGAGCAACAUAACAAGUCAAAACAGAAAAUAAAAUAACCCUGUGACUUUAGGUCCUAAUGUGCAUCUGUGUAUUACUGUAAGAAUUUAAGAGUGGUGAAUGGCGACUAGUCAACUACACCUUCUUACCGAUAUUUUGCACUAUAGUUAUUCCUCAGAGCAUUUAAAAUGAUAAGUUACUUUGUCUUGGA